rnacentral:lncRNA from 1 species
GGACUGAGGUGCAGCAGGAUCAAGGGACCCAUUGUCCCCCACCAGGGUGCUCCGGCCCUCAGGAACCCCUUGGAUCAACAGAAGAAACAGGUGUCCCAGUGAGAGCGGGGAUCCUGGGGAGGGGUUCUUGGGGAGGGGUCUGUGGGCCGAGGGGUGAUGGGCUAUGAAGGGUUUCCUGCGGGUAUUUGAGGGUGAGGGUCACCUCCAGGCCAUGACUCCUCCUUCCCUGCCCCACAGGGUGGAAAGGGCCCCAUUUGUCUGCCUGGCUGUGAUAGGGUGCAGAGUCAUUUGUGACUUCCCAGUCCUGCUGGGCCUCCAGGUGUGGCUGGAGAAGACGGAGACCAAGAGAAGAACCCCAGAGAACCCAGCCAAUCUUCUCUCCACAUGAGAGGGCCGAGGGCUCUCCUGGACCCCCUGGACUCACUGGUCUAUGGAACAGCCUGGAACAGUGGGAGCAGAUUGGGAGCCCGGACCUCAGGGACACCAGGGACACUUUGGAGCCAGAGUGUGGGGAGCCAAAGUCAAUAAAGGAACAAGAGGAUUCACGGACCUACAGGAUCCACAGGGUCCCCUGACAGGUGUUGGGGACCUGGGUCCUCCUGGAGAGAAGGAGACAAAAGAGAAUAAACCGUGGAGAAUACCAGGAUUUUGUGAGGGGGAAAUGAAGUUUUUGACCCCAAUCUCUUUGCUACUGGAGCCAGGAGAGACAGGAUCUCCAGGAAUCCAGGGUGAGCCAGGUGUCAGGGUCUUGGUUUUCCUGGAGACCCUGGCCUCCCGGAAGAAGGUAGUUCAUGAUCAGGACAGUGUUAAGGGUGACUACGGCAAGGAUGGUGAGCCAAGACAGCCUGUGAGUGACCAAUGA